rnacentral:miRNA from 1 species
GGUAUGUUUAGUGUUCAAGA